rnacentral:lncRNA from 1 species
AGAAAUGUCUAAAAACCAAUUUAUAGCCAAAACAGUCGAGUCUGGGCGCUCAGGCGCCAAUUCAGAGCGCCUGAGCGCCAAUUCCAGCCCAGAAACAUGCUCUCUGGAGGUGUCUGGCGCCUAGGCGCCAAUUCCCAGCGCCUAGGCGCCAAUUCCAAAAGCUUCAGGAAAUUACACUAGCGCCUAGGCGCCAAUUCCCAGCGCCUAGGCGCUCAAGCUUCGCUGGAACAGACUUUUCAGCUCCUUGUAACUCCUCUUCAAGCCUCUUUAAGCCCUCCUUGAAUUCCAAGCUUCUUGGCCUUCCUCAACCAUCAGUUUCAGACCUGGUAACUUAGGCACAAAGUAAAAGAGAUAUCUAGAAGCUUCACAGAGUUAAUUAGCAAGGAGAACCUUCAAUUAAAAAAGAAAAGAUAUGCAAGUCCUCUAGCUAAUCAAAAUGCACGAAAGGUCCUUAUAAAACUACAAAAAUACAAAAACAAAAUAAAAACACAAAGAAAGAUAAAAAUGCAUGAUAAUGCAUGAAACACUACAUGAGACUCAACAAAAAGACUCGAAACAAACUAGGAAAUGACCCUAAAAACACUACUAAACUAGGGUCAUC